GGAAGUUUUCAGAGAUGAGAAUGUGCCUUCGGGAACCGUGAGACAGGUGCUGCAUGGCUGUCGUCAGCUCGUGUUGUGAAAUGUUGGGUUAAGUCCCGCAACGAGCGCAACCCUUAUCCUUUGUUGCCAGCGGUCCGGCCGGGAACUCAAAGGAGACUGCCAGUGAUAAACUGGAGGAAGGUGGGGAUGACGUCAAGUCAUCAUGGCCCUUACGACCAGGGCUACACACGUGCUACAAUGGCGCAUACAAAGAGAAGCGACCUCGCGAGAGCAAGCGGACCUCAUAAAGUGCGUCGUAGUCCGGAUUGGAGUCUGCAACUCGACUCCAUGAAGUCGGAAUCGCUAGUAAUCGUGGAUCAGAAUGCC
rnacentral:rRNA from 1 species